UAGUUGUUCAUUUCAACCAACUGGAAAAAGAAGGAUACGCUGAGCUCGAGAACUUGGCAGAUUCCCUAAUUUCUUUUGCUGUGUGAACGUGGAAGACCUACUAAGGCAGGUGUUUACCUGCUUGGACACAGACCAUCAGGACAUGAGAGUCAGGAAACCAGGUGAAUGCAGCAAAUUAUAAGCAAAGCCAGAAAUACAAAAUAUCAGACUAAUCAGAAUCUCUAACGAAUUCCUACUAUUUAAAAUGCUUUUUAAAUUAUCUUUGUAGAAGAACAACACACACACACACUUAUAUCAGAGGACGUUUAGCAAGUUCCUUGUUUUCAAGGAAGCUUCUGAUAUAAGUCCACAUUUGCUUAUAAUUCUCACAUCUUCCUUAUCUAUAGUCCUGUUCAAUGGCAACUGGCACUCAGAAUAAGAAAUUUGAGACACCAGAAGAUAUGAAAUUACCAAAGAAAAAAUUAAUGUAUCCUCAUUAUCAAGGCAAUAAAUCCUUCCAUACUGUAUUAGAAUAUUUAUCAGAAUAAAGUGUUGAAACAAAAAAUGUUUACUGAAUAACUAUCUCUUAGCCAAGAGAGGUCUCCCCUAGGCACCAUGAUGAAUAUUUAUGAACUUGUAUUGAAGAAUUAUAAAUUUUAGGACCAAGUUAAUAAUCUAAGUCACUGAGGUCUAUAAAUUAUCCCCCACAAUUGAAAAAAGAGCCACUACACCUGGCUAAUUUUUGUAUUUUUAGUAGAGACGGGGGUUUCACCAUAUUGGCCAGGCUGGUCUCGAACUCCUGAUCUCAAGUGACUUGCCCGCCUCGGCCUCUCAAAGUGCUGGGAUUAUGGGUGUGAGCCACU
rnacentral:lncRNA from 1 species